GGAUGUGAGGGCAAUGUGGCUGCCACACCUGUCACCCCAUUGAUCUCCAUUUGGCUGAUCUGGCUGGCUGGACAGGUGCCCCCUUCCUCACUCACCACUCCAUGUGUGCCCCUCCUGAAGCUCCGUGCUUGCUCAAAGAGGAUGACCUUCCCCAUAAGAGGAGGACUGUUCUUCUGUCAAGGGUAUACACGUAGCUGCACUGGCCUGCUAGAACCUCUAAACAAGCUCUCAAACAUGUGCCAUAUGUUUAACAUAGUGCAUGCUUAAUAAAUGCUUCACUAGGAACUACAAAAAUAUUUAAAAGAAUUUU
rnacentral:snRNA from 1 species